AUACAAUCUGGUAUUGUGCACCAUUAAAAAGAAAAAAUAGUAAUAUGACCAAUUCUCCUAGGCUCAGUAAAGAUCCCAGUCUGUAUCUACAGAAACUCUGGCAAGAACCUUCUAUGAAAGAUGGGUUUCUAGGGGAAUACAUCACGAUGGCAGACCUAUUCAAACUUCUAAGUUUCGCAUUCUGCUUUUAUGGGUUUUCUAUCACCUCCCUCAUCAGCAAAUUAUCAACACUCACUUCGCUCCGCUGACAGUGUUCCUGCCUGUGGCAUUCCUAUCUCCUUCUUAUGUUCUGUUUUAAAUGCACUCUGAGCUGAGACAUUAGGUAGUACGUUAUAGUGACAUUGGCUGUAUAUUUCCUUGAAACAUACGAACCUUUCCAUUCACAUGUGUUCUAUAUUCUAUCAUUUUACUGUGAAUACAUUGAGUUAGAUUACUGUUGGCUUACUGAUUAC
rnacentral:lncRNA from 1 species